GAUGAGGGGGUUCUUUGCUUAUUUUUUCUUAAGGCAAAUAUCUCUUCCAUUAUCGAGGGAAGAGGCAGCAUCGCUUCUGCAGUGGUGCGAAGCGUGUCUGUUGCUAGAAAUGCCUCUCACUUUGUUCCUGAAAAGUGUGCCAGAUGCACUGGAAAGCUCGCACUGCUUUAAUUAUGUAAUGCGAUGGCGAGGGGGGGGGUAGAGGGGGGAGGGGGGGGUGCUCUGUCCCUGGUGCAGCCGAUUUGGCUAAAUUUGCUGUGCUGUGCUGCAGAAACUAUGUGCUCGUUUGUCCCGCUGGCAGAACAGAGGGGCCUCUCCUUGCUGCUGCAUCCCUGCUCCCCGAGGAUGCAGCUCAGAGACCCCAUUGCCCUCAGUGUGCCCUGUGCUCAGCUCGACCCCAGUUAGCCAAAGGGCUGGGGGCUUCACAUCCCACGCUGAGGGACCAGCCUUGUGCUGCCAGGCUCACACCGAUUGCAGCAGGAGCUCUCUGCUCUGCUACAGCCCAGCCCCAGGCACAGGAAUGGGAGCACGGAACCCUCACUGCGAGCAAAUGACAGUGAGUUAAUGGGGUAAACCCCGUGGGCAGGGGCUGGGGAGCUUCCCACCCUGCAGUCAGGUCUGCUUCUGUUACAAAGAGUUCCUAAAAAGUAAUAAAUAGAGCAGAGAGCAAACAAAUGUUUCCCUAAAUGGGACCACGCUGCUCUUCUCAGCUGCCCGAGGAACAGAAUGUUUUGAUGAAAUCAAUGAUGAUGCAUACCAAACAAUUGUACUCUUAACCAGCUGCCACCUUAUUUCCUGCCGUGUCGAUCUCUUCAGGCACAAGCACUUUCUCUUCCUUAGGAACAACAGAUUUGCUUGAGGAGAAUCGUCAAAAAUACUCGGUGAAUAAUUUCUAUGAAUCAGCGCUGUCCUAAGAGAAAGCAGCACUCGUAACCAGAAAGCAAACUGUCUGGAGACAGCGCUGGGAGGGCUGCAGUGCUGCCCUGCUGCUUUCCUCUCAAAGGGCCGGUCGGUCCCCCUGCCUUCUCCAUACACACAGCACACGGCAGGCACAGAGCUCGGCCCCUGGGAUGGGGCAUGGGGACCCUUUGCCCUCUCCCUGUGUGCUCUCUCCUCUGUAGAAGCUGCUGGUGGCACACAGAGGCCUCUGCCGCACCGAGUGAGGUUCACACAGUCUCGGGAGCUUUAAUUAGAACCAUGCUGCAUGCAGUGCUUUCGGAGCUUCUCCAAUUUAUUAGUUAUGAUUUAAAGCAAAGACAAAACAACAGGAAAAUAUUUCGGCUUUGCUAGUUAAACAGCGUGUGGUGGUACAGGGCAAUAAACAUUAAAAAUAAAUACAUAAGGGAAUGUCCACGGUAUGGCAGUGCCCACCUGGCGCUGUGUGGGGCUGCAUUGUGAGCAGAGCCCCAUCUGCUGGGUCACUGCCAUCACACAGAGGUGCCAUGUGCCUGGCUGGGAUGGGGAAAACACCGCACCCAGGUACAGGGAGGUUCACAAGCAGAUACUGGUGCUCUGACAACGUUUUCUUCCCAGUUUAGUCCUCCCUUUCAUCAGCACGGCAGAAAAAGAGACUGCUGCAAGCCCCGCAUUGACAGCAGUCAUUUAAACUGUUGCUGGGACAAGGUGACAGAUUGUAGCAUUCAGGCUGUAGCUUUCAGGCUGUAGCUUUCAGUCUGUAGCUCACAGCACCAUGGCUGUGCAGUUUGUUCAGCCUGUUUCGUGGCUCAGAGGUGUGCACCCAGCCGCACACUGCCAGCUCUGCUGGUCACAGUUGCUCUCUUUGAAGUUCAGGUGUUUGUCGGCACGUGUGUCUCUGGCUUUGCUUCCUAAAGCCCACCAAGAUAGAGGCUGGGAGUGCAGUGCGGUGCUGCGUUCUCCUCCCGGCUGCUGCCAGAAACAACACGGCUGCUCUGAACGAGGAGCGUGGGACGGGACGGUGCCUGCACUGUGAGGGGCAGCCCACACCAGCGUGCUCUGUGCAUUAUUACAGCACCUUGGUUGGGGCAGCCCUGAGACUAAGAGGGGAAGUUAAAAUAGGUGCAGCCGUGGCUGUCUCUGAUGGACGGGGAUCGGAGCGCAAAGUGAAACAGGGAUGCAGCAGAAACUGGGUUACGUGGCUCUGAGUAAACGCUCUCCCGUCGGAGCAGGAUUUGUUUUACAUCACUGCUCUAGUUCUUGUCCUGAGGAUGUUUAACUCACCCAGAGCUGUUUGGCCUCCAGGAUGGAUUCCUACAAUUACGUGUUUAUGAUUGCGAGCUCUGCCACGGGAAGCAGCAGGAGGAGAUCAUUUCGGGAGUGCUGGGAGGCACGGAGGGAGCUGGAGAGCCUUCUCCUGGGCUUCAGCCACUGCUACACUUCGGAGGGAGGCUGUGGUGUGUUUCGGGCCUGACGUGCUGCUGCAUUUAGCAGCAUGAAUAACAAGGCAUCAGAUGGGUGUUACUGCAUCGCCGUGACUUUAAACUUCAUCCACAUAGUGACAUGCAGGCUGGGCUGUGUGCAGUGCUCACCUCAGACAUGUUUUCAGACCACUCACAGCAGGCAGUGAACACAGCCUGACUUGAGGCCCCAUGGCUGCAGGCCUGCAGGGCUGGGCAUGGCCUCCCACAGCCCCACACAUGCCACACAACCUCAGUGACUUGCCCAGCUCCUGCCUGCUGCCCCAAGGAUGCUCGGGGCACCUCUGUGGUGCAGAGCCUGAGGACUCCCAACUGUGGGAGCUCCGGCUGGGACCAUCCACCACCGAGGCCGGACCGCGGGCAUCUAUCUCAGCCAUCUGCCUGCAGCCCCACACCAGAUGUGGCUCAAAGUCCUCAGAUGCCCUCUGCUGCCAUGGACCAGAAUUAACAGAUGUCUCCGUGUAACCGGGUUUAGAUUUGCUGAAGUUUGCUAUUAUCUCCGCAUUUGUAAAUGGAUGGGGGAGGGGAAAUAAUAUCUGGGAUUAUUACAAAACAGGCAGAGCUUUAUAAAAAGUGUUAAGUCUGGGGCUGGGUCCCUUCUGACUGUGAAUGCCAUUGUCCCAUAUUUCAAAAUGUUAACACUAUUUUUAGCUUUCUCUUCAGAGCUCCCUCCCCUGACAGCUUAUCCCUCUGGGUAUGAGUUUGGCCCAGUGAGCCGCCCAGGACACGGCACACUUUGCCCCAGCAUUUCGGGCCCUACUGCGUCUGAUGGAACCAACUCUGCUGCUGUGGCUGGGCUCUGCUCAGGCACUGAGGGACACAUUCGGCUGCCUGGUCCCUCUGCAUCACACAGGCAGAAGAAAAAUACUUUGAUGUUUACUGCCGUCUCAACUGGAACACCUGUAAACUGGGCAGGACCAUGCUGAAGACUCAAGCUGUGCAGAGAGAGCAGUAACAGUGUGCAAGCUGCGGCUCUCACACAUCCAUCCCGACGUGCCUGUACCAGAGUGCUUAUAGGAGGAGCAAAGAGGACCUGAGCUCGGGUUGUCUGUGAGAACAGCCACCUGCUCCCACAGGGCACGUCUGUAGUUCUGGAUAAGAACAUUCCUGAUGUCAGGAGGACUGGCUUACAGCCGUGCCAACAUGGUUCUCCCUAGGGCUCCUCCUGCUUCCCCACCCUGGACUCUGUGGUACUGUCAUGGUACCCUGUGGGUCCAAUGUGGAAUGAUGUGUUUUUAUCUUUCUUUCUGUUCAGAACACCUGAAAUGAGGUGAAAUCACUCCGCAGCCUCCAAGAAUGAUGCUUCCUUAGUGUGAGUGUGAGGUACAUGUGUGUUCUGGGGUGUGGUAAUGCCUGAGUGUGCGCAGCCAUCUUGGGUUGCUCUGGGCAGACACAGCAAGGCCUGGCCUCGGGAGUGGGCCCUUCACUGCUGGGGGGAACCAGCUGGGAGAAGUCAGGAGAGAGCUGAGGGGAACGUGGUGAAGCAGCGUGGGUGCUUUUGGUAUCAAAGAGCUGAUUAAACAAAAGGAGGUGAGAGAUUAAAAUCCUAUAGACAAUUAUUAAGCGUGUGCGUUACUGCAUACAGAGAACAAAAACCAGGAAGUUAGAGAAGGCAAAACACGUUGCUUCAUUUGCUCAGCAAGAGAAAACUGCUUAGCCUUUAAAAUAUUUUGCUGACUUUCUCAACUUUUCAUUCAGGACUUCUGUAUGUGGACUGCAUGCUGCUAAAGGUUUGCAGGAACAGCAGAAAAGCAGCUUUCACCUUUAAGCAGAGCACUUCUGUGUUCUUCUCUCUGUUCUCAAACUGUUGCCCAACCCUCCCAACUCAAUCGACUAAAACUAAUUCCCAAACACGAGAAAACUACUUCUGUUUGCUAUGAUAAAGGCAGCUGAAUCUCCACUGCCCUUCAAAGAGGAGUGAGAAGCACCUCCAGAAAACAACGCGUGGCUUAUUCCAGGCAUUGGUUUUUUAAUGGGAUUUACUGCCUUGUUGAGGUACUUUGUACUGACUGUAAGGUGAGUCCAUGACAGUUAACGCGGGUUUAGAUGUCUAAUUAAUUUAGGUGUCUAAUUAGCAGUUGCCUCAAUGUUAAGAAACAAGUCUCGCUCUUAUACAUUGUAGGUCCACAAUGAGUCUGAACUUUAUUCUAGUUAUUCUAUUCUAAAAUAAUAAUAAUAAUAAUAAUAAUAAUAAUAAUAAUAAUAAUAAUAAUAAUAAUAAUAAUAAUAAUAAUAAUAAUAAUUCUUAUUAAGUGGCCUCUGAGUUGAUUUAUUCUGUGGUAGUAUUAAAGUGAAACACACGUCCUCCAUGACAGAAGAGGAAUGCAGCCUGCACAGCCUAUGUCUGCUUGAUCAUAUAACCUUGUACUGUUUUUCAGCAUGGAACGAGCAUGUGGGUAACUGUAACAGCACACCACGAAAACCGGAAUAACUGAGAAAGGCAGCGUCGACAUCAAGCAUAAACUACUAUUGUGAUACAUUAUAGAGCUGCAGCAGAGAUGUCGUGGUGACACAGAAUUCGGAGAUGUCAGGUGAAAUCCAGGCCUUCCCAAUAGCUGGCUUUUCCAUGGGGCUGAAUGGUGGCAUAGGGGUUGGGGGGAUGGGGUGGGGAACCACUCCCUCCAUUCUUGUCUGGAGGAACUGGAGCAUACAGACAUGAAACUCGUCCAAUGGGCACAUUUGGCAGUGCUGUACUAUUGACUCCAUUUUUCAAAACCACAAGGGUUGGGUGGGUUGCUUUUUUCCUUGUUUAAUAAGCGUGAAGAAAGAUACAUCUCUGAUACGUUCAAAAAGUCUAAUAGUUCAAAGUGAACAAGAAAGUGCUAGAACAGAACCUUUGACCCGCUGAAUCCAAGCACUUUUAGACCUCCCAGGAAAUAUCUUAUUCUUCAGUACUUGCAAAUUUAGUUAAAUAACAGCUGGUGCGUGUCUCUCAUAGCGUUAAGUCCCGCGAUUCAGAUCUAUGCAUCAUCUCUGGCUUCGGACAAAUCCAGGAGAGUCACUGUGCAAGAUUGCCUCCCGGUGGUGGUACCACGAACCUGCAGAAUUCGCUCACAGAAAAGGCAAAAAACCUGUUUAAGAACAGCGCUUCCUUGUUGAAUUCAGGUCUAAGUAACUCGACUUAGAGUUACAUACAUUUCAGUGCGAUUUUAACAGCCUGAAUUGAGGAUAAACCUUUCGACAGGUGAGUGAAGCAGAGCUUUCUAGUGGAACAGCAUGCUAACAAGGAAAGCUCAAAGAGACUUUCUGUACAACAUUUAAAAGAGUUAAUAGUCACUAAGAGGUACCCAAUUGCACACUGUCCGCAGCAAUGAGCCUCCCAAAGCCUGGAACAAUAACUAUGAAGCACAAGGCAGAUGGCCAAGAGCACUAACAAAAACACUACAGCAGGUUUCCCAUUCCACCAAUUCCAUUUGUAACUCACAUUCUCAGUCAAGAAGUUAGCAGAAGAGAAGAAAAAAAAGGCAACAGAAAGUCCCAAACUACCUUUCAAACUGAUUGCUCUUUUAGGUAAAAGCAGGAAAAGACUCCAGCAGAUGGAUUUCCAAUUCCAAGUCUUCAAGUGAAGAGAAACACACAGUUAAAGACAGCUUUACAUAGCUGUUCAAGACGAUGAAAAGCAGGAGGACAACUUUAACUUACUGUGGGAAUAGGAGUAUAGUUGGGUCACGCUUCAGAUGACCCAGACGAAAGAUUUAGUGUAAGAAAACAGAAAUAUUGGCAGCACAGUGCAAGGAGAGAUUUUUAAACACCCAUUUCAUGGAUGAACGUAACAACGAAUUGGCAGAGGGUACAUGCAGUGAGCGUGUGUCAGACUCGCUCAGUUCCCAGUAACUGCUCAGAAAAGGUAAGUGCUUUAAACCAGAUAGCAGUCCCACACAUAACAGACUUCUAGUCCUCCAGAUACCUGAGGAGCACUCAAAAACAUUGGGGGAAAAGGUGAGAAAUGUAGCAGCAUUUCUGCAGUGACUGCGGAUGAUUAACUGGCAAGUUUGACAGGCAAGAACAGGCAAAUGUAGUAAUACUGUGAUAACAAAAGGCUGCUGCAAAGGAAAACAACAGCACAGUGCAGGCAGAAGGAGUGUGGAGGGAUAAAUAGUUGAGAGCUGAACCCAAGAAAGAGCAUCUUUUCUUCAAAUGGACUGAAAUCAAGCAGGGACAAAUCAGGUCUCAGCUUCCCAAAAACAAUGGUGGUUCAGUUUCACCAUGGUGAAAUUAAUUAAAAGCAGUCAAGGAAAACAAGUUAUUAAGUAACUCUAGAAAAAGCUGAUGUACUUCACACUAAAAUGUCCAGAAUUAGAGACUUUAUAUGGUACUCAUCUCCUAGCAAAACAUACAGAUAACACAAGCAGGCAAAACUACACUAGAUGAAUGCAAGAAACAAAUACCUUCCUGUCUUAUCCAAACUGCCUUGGGAAGGAAGUACAAUCAAAAUGUGGGGCAUUUGGGAUUUUUUCCCCACCAUUAUUUAUUUAGAUGCAAAGACAACAGUGAUGUUACUGGAUCUCUAUGGAGUCACAACGUCGCAAGCCGGCACUUUCUACCUGAAGGCUGAUGCCUAAAACUGUAGACUGGAGUAAAGAAUCUGAUAUUUCCGAGAAAAAAUGGUAUAUGACAAUAUUUUAUUAGCAGAAACAUUCAAGCACAGCAAGGUGCUAAAGCUACAAAGCAGAUUCAAACAACGUUUCUUGAACUUAAAGCAUUUGAAGGACCAGUCCUUCCCUCUUGGUAAGCUGGGAAGAGCAGGUAUCUUCACUGAAUGAUUGCUGGGCUAAAGCAAAGAACUAUUCCUCCCCUGGGCUGCAUCUGUGUAGUUUAUAUACGAACAUGCACAGCAUCCUCAUUGAACAACAGGGUGAAUUUAAAAUUAAGAACAACAAAAACGUGCACAGAUAUCUCAAAUAUUUGGGAAUACCAAAUGAUUGAAGGGCAAGUGAUGCCCUGGAAGCUGAAGUUUAACCAAGUUGCCCAGAUUUCAGUGUAAGAAAAGAGCCUUAAAUUCUUUAAACCUCUGUAUUCAAAGCUUAUCUGCAUUUCAAGUAUUAGAUUUCUAAAAUAAGAAACCACAGCAGGUCCAGCCCUAGAAUUCCCACUCUGCAAUAGUGCUUCUAUGCAUUCACUUUACGAUAAGCCUCUGACCUAGUUUAAUCAUCAUCUGUUACAUCCGGAUCAAAGACCGGCACAUUCUCUGACCCUACAUGCACGAUAUUCUUCAGAGCCUUUAUGUUAUCAGUGCACUUUUGUUGGUUUUCUUUUAUCUAUUAACUGAAAUGGGAAAAAUCAGAUUUGGUUAAGCAAGGUUUUGUUAAAACACGCGUGUAGAACUGAUAAACAUUUCUCUACUUUUUAUUUCAAAUAAAGAUCAAUAACAACA